rnacentral:rRNA from 1 species
CCGGUGGUUAAAUCGGAGGAAGGUGGGGAUGACGUCAAGUCCUCAUGGCCUUUAUGCUUAGGGCUACACACGUGCUACAAUGGGUGGUACAAAGAGAAGCCAACUCGCGAGAGCGCGCCAAUCUCAAAAAGCCAUCCUCAGUUCGGAUUGGAGUCUGCAACUCGACUCCAUGAAGUUGGAAUCGCUAGUAAUCGCGGAUCAGCAUGCCGCGGUGAAUACGUUCCCGGGCCUU